rnacentral:rRNA from 1 species
UACGUAGGGUGCAAGCGUUGUCCGGAAUUACUGGGCGUAAAGAGCUCGUAGGUGGUUUGUCGCGUUGUUCGUGAAAACUCACAGCUCAACUGUGGGCGUGCGGGCGAUACGGGCAGACUUGAGUACUGCAGGGGAGACUGGAAUUCCUGGUGUAGCGGUGGAAUGCGCAGAUAUCUGGAGGAACACCGGUGGCGAAGGCGGCAUCCUGGACCAAUAUUGACGCUGAGGAGCGAAAGCCAGGGGAGCAAACGGG